CAGCAGCCACGGUAAUACGUAGGGUGCGAGCGUUAAUCGGAAUUACUGGGCAUAAAGCGUGCGCAGGCGGUUCGUUAAGACAGAUGUGAAAUCCCCGGGCUUAACCUGGGAACUGCAUUUGUGACUGGCGAGCUAGAGUAUGGCAGAGGGGGGUAGAAUUCCACGUGUAGCAGUGAAAUGCGUAGAGAUGUGGAGGAAUACCGAUGGCGAAGGCAGCCCCCUGGGCCAAUACUGACGCUCAUGCACGAAAGCGUGGGGAGCAAACAGGAUUAGAUACCCCCGUAGUCCCUGUCUCUUAUAC
rnacentral:rRNA from 1 species